CGGCGGACGGGUGAGUAAUGUCUGGGAAACUGCCUGAUGGAGGGGGAUAACUACUGGAAACGGUAGCUAAUACCGCAUAACGUCGUAAGACCAAAGAGGGGGACCUUCGGGCCUCUUGCCAUCAGAUGUGCCCAGAUGGGAUUAGCUAGUAGGUGGGGUAACGGCUCACCUAGGCGACGAUCCCUAGCUGGUCUGAGAGGAUGACCAGCCACACUGGAACUGAGACACGGUCCAGACUCCUACGGGAGGCAGCAUG
rnacentral:rRNA from 1 species